CAUGGAGGGUGAGAAUCCCGUCUGCGACCGGUCGUGCGUCCAUCUACGAUACGCUUUCAAAGAGUCGAGUUGUUUGGGAUUGCAACUCCAAACGGGUGGUAAACAUCACCUAAGGCUAAAUAUUGGCGAGAGACCGAUAGCGAACAAGUACCGUGAGGGAAAGAUGAAAAGAACUUUGAAAAGAGAGUUAAACAGUACGUGAAAUUGUUGAAAGGGAAACGAUUGAAGUCAGUCGUGCUGGCGCGAAAUCAACCCUUUAGUCGUGAGAUCACAUAUCGUGGUGAGCCUCAAAACCGCCACAGCGUGUGACCUCUGACGAGGGGGAGCACUUUCGUGUCCGCUGGUUAACAUCAAUUUCGAUCGUCAUAAAAAGGCUGGAGGGAUGUGGCUCCUUCGGGAGUGUUAUAACCUUUAGCGGAAUGUGGUGGUCGGGAUUGAGGAUUGCAACGGAUACCUUCGGGGCUGUUUCACCUGGCCUCUCUUGGUAUCCUGGUGACGACAGCUUGCUGACGUCGUUAGGAUUCGCCUUUGAACAGGCUAGAGUGUGAGCAAAUUCGUUAAGGAUGUUGACGUAAUGG
rnacentral:rRNA from 1 species